UACAAAAUUUCAUUCCUCUUUUUGUUUUUUUAAGGAGGGAAAACUAAUCAACAUGUUGAUUAAACUGUUCUCCUAAUAACUCAACUAAUUGUUAUUAUUUGUCUUAUUUAUUUUUGUGGAUUGUUCUCGGUGGAAAUUUAGUAAAAACAAUGAGUGUAGAGUCUGUCAUCUCAUUUUAAUUGUUUUAAGCUUCCAUCUGUUUCAACCGGCCUAUUAUAAUCAUCAGUAAACCUGUCAUAACCUUUAUCGUCAAGCAAAUUUUGAAACAUGAAUCUACUAUAAUGAACAGAGAAAGGAUCUCUAUUUCCAUGGUGUCUUCGAUAGUCAAGAAAAUAUUUUAUUUAUUUGUUUACUAAAUUAUCAUGAUUGUGAUCAAGUUGAAAGAUCGGAUGCCUUGAAUCUAGUCAACCAGUACAACAGUAAGAACUCUAUCGAACUAGGUUCAAAGGAGCUGCGACAAACCAAAUCGAGGAAAAAUGGAAUGGAGUUUUAAUAAUCUUAAUAAUCAUUACCAGCAAAUUGCGGAUGGACCCAUUCCCAUUGCUACUUAAUAGCCUUUGAUCCCAAAACUAGAAAUGUUGUCUACAGCUGGGGCUCUAAUCUUUUUACCUAACUCAUGGUUUAACCUUUGAUACCAAAGGGUAUGUUUGGUUGACUGAUGUUUCACUCCAUCAAGUGUUCAAAUUUGUCGCUGAAGGCUCAGAUAAGCCUGAAAUGCAGUUAGGUGAAGCAUUUGUUCCAGGAAACGGCGAUAAACAUUUUUGCAAGCCAACUAGUGUAGCAAUAGAUUCGAGAAGUGGAGAUUUUUAUGUUGCUGGCGGUUAUUGUAACUCAAGGGUCAUUAGAUUUAACAGUGAGGGCAAGGUUCUGAAUCAGUGGGGCCAGCCUGAAUCAGCUGCAUCCACUCCUUCUGUUAAUACUUUUAAUAUUGUACAUAAAGUUGUACUUAUCGAAGAGUCAAACACUGUCUGUGUUGCUGAUCGUGAACACGGAAGGAUUCAAUGUUUUAAAUCACCAUUAGGUGAAUUCAUAUUUAGCAUAUCUAUCAAUGAGUUUUCUGGUCGAGUUUUCUCCAUUUCUUACUCACCUUUUGGGGAAGGUAUUUUAUUUGCUGUGAAUGGUGGAAUUUAUUUUAAUCCUGAAGCACCAAUCAAGGGUUUCCUAUUCAACUUAACAACCCAUUAACUUUUGACUUCUUUUGGGAUUUAAGCAACCCCAUGACAUCGUUGCUUCUAAAGAUGCUAAAAGUGUAUAUAUUGUCGAAAUUGGACCAAAUUGUCUUUGGAGAUUCGAAAAAGAUGUGCCUAUCGGAUCCUCAAUUUCAGCACAAAUUUCUGAUGGAGCAACUGUGACCAAACUAUCGUCACCUUUGAAGAAUUCGAGUGACUUAAACAUAGCGCGUACUUUUAUUCUUAAAUUACAACUCAUUCCAGCGCAGAUUGCAUCUUUAUCAAGUUCGUCAGCUUUACUUUUGGUGCUUGUCGCUUCAAUAAUAAUAGUAAUUAUAAUUAUUUUAAUUGUUCGUCGCAGAACCUCUCGACUUAGUAGCUAUUCACCAUUGCUGUAAGUCAAAGGAUGGGUGACGGGCUACAAAGCUACAAAGAACGAACUAAACCUAGGUAGGAUUUUACAUGAUCCUAAAAGAUCUGGAUUUAAUCAAUUAGCUAUGGAUGAUAGUGAUAAUGAAGCAGAAAUAAUCAAUGGGGAUAUUCACAGUGAACCCGAAGUUGAGGAAUUCGAUGUCAGUUUUGUUCGUAAAAUUUAAGCCAAAAUUAUCAAAGAUAUAUAACUUCUUUAUCUAUUAUGAUUGGUAUUAAAUUUUCGGGUAUUGGUUCGCUCUAAAUGUACUCAUCCAUCUUUUUGCAACAUCAAAAUUUCCAUCUCAGGAAGUUGAUUUUUAUCAGUUUUUUAAUAUCAUUCAUCCCUAUGGAACAAAUUGAAAGUCAAAAAAGCGAAAACAGGACUGCAGUUACAAUUGUCCUGAAGAUUUCAAAGAUUCCAGACGACUGACCACCUAACAUAUUUAAAACAAAAGAAAGAAAUUUGUAAUGAAAUAUAUGAAUAUAUUUAAAUUAAUACAUAUUUGCUAAA